rnacentral:rRNA from 1 species
CAGCCGCCGCGGGAAUACGUAGGUGGCAAGCGUUGUCCGGAAUUAUUGGGCGUAAAGGGCUCGCAGGCGGUUUCUUAAGUCUGAUGUGAAAGCCCCCGGCUCAACCGGGGAGGGUCAUUGGAAACUGGGAAACUUGAGUGCAGAAGAGGAGGGUGGAAUUCCACGUGUAGCGGUGAAAUGCGUAGAGAUGUGGAGGAACACCAGUGGCGAAGGCGACUCUCUGGUCUGUCACUGACGCUGAGGCUCGAAAGCGUGGGUAGCGAACAGGAUUAGAUACCCCCGUAGUCCCUGUCUCUUAUAC